GGGACAUUGGAAAGGGUGAGGACACUGGCAUGGGUGGGGGCUGAGGACACUGGGUCGGGGCGAGGACACGGUUGGGGGGGCAGGGACAUUGGAAUGGGGCAAGUACACUGGAGGGUGACUAGGAUACCCGGGGGUGGGCAUAGGUGGGGGGCGAGGACACUGGGGGGUAGAUGUGGAAGAAGGACGGGGAAACUGGGGGCAGACACUGAGGUGGGAAAUGCAGACAUUGGGGUGUGGGGCGAGGACACCAGGAGAGCGAGGACCCCGAGGUGGGGAGUGCGGACUCUGGGGUGGGGGGCGAGGACACUGCACGAGGUGCGCUGCCGUCGCUGGGGCAGGGUGGCGGCUGCAGGCGCGCCCUGGGCCUGCCAGGCCUCCUCCAUCCCCCACCCUCCCCUCCCCUCCCUCCGCCUGGCGCCCAGCCCCCUGCCGGCGGGUCCACCCGCGGGCUGGCCCUCCCGCACGCACGCUCCGGUUGUCGGGGUCCUCCUCCUAGAAGAACUGGAAACACUCGGAGCUCCACAGCCUUCGGGGCGACCCGACUGGGUUCGCUGGUCCGUCGGAGCACACCAACAGGCCUGCGCCAGGUGCUGGUGGAGGCGACUUGACCCCGCCCUGCUGCAGCUUAGAGGAGGGGGGAGUUACCUCACCCCUUGGAGUCUCAGAUUCCUCACACCUUAAAUUGGGGAGCGGGGCGGGGAGGUGGAAAUAUCUCAGAGGAGUGAGUAAAAUGAUGAAUUCUCAAGGCCUCGCGCUGGCCGCCCAGACAGACCUAAGAAGACAGCGGGAAGGAGAGUGACCCUAAGGACCCUCGGCUCCUGAAUGCCGAGUCUGAUCUAAACUCCCCACAUAUUAAUCACUUUGGAGAGAGAAAAAAUUUUUAAACGAGACAGAAAAAGCAGCCCUCACCCCCACCCCCCUACAUACGCAAAGGAAAUACCAGCCAUCUUUACCGUUGGUUGUUCCUAUAUUUUACUUGGUGGUGCUUAUCUCCUUCUGUUCCCACUUCCCCUUAAACCCCAACUUUUCCAAGACAGGGCAAUUCAAAUGUCCUGGGUUUAGUUCUCACAUCUUGCUUAACAUUAACCCAAAUCCAGGCUGGCUUGCAGAACGACUGUGAAAAUGGAAUUUUGGCUACAGUUUUCUAACCAUAGAAUGAAACUUUCCUAUUUUAUCAUUUCAGGAGCAGACAUUGUGCUCAAGAAAAUGGAAUGAACAUGAGACUCAAAUCCAUGUCCAUUUGUUUUUAUUAUCAAGAGAACAAGAAAGUGUUCUUGAUUUUUAAAAAAUAUGCUUUCUUAACCAUCCAGAUGUAGGGGACAGGGCCAAAUAUAUUAUUUGAUAUCAUUUGGGUGUUCCAAGUCCACAGAUGUGUCUAGUUUGGAAGCUAUUGAUACAAGUUUUCUCUUUAAGAAAAUAAAUCUCAUCUUGAAACUCUUUAAGCCUGGAAAAAAAUAAUUCAGAGGGAAAGAAAUUUUUCUUGAAUUAAGUUCAACUAAGUUUAAUCAUUUAAAGGAAAACAUGUUUUACUUCUGCCUAAAUAGAGCCUAGUCAUGUGAUUCAUAGUUUAAAUAUAUCCACAGCUCCCUGUGUUCACCUCCCAGGGCAACUGAUUUUUUUCAAGCCUCUUUUGAUUCUAGGCUGGUUUCCCUAGACUUGUCUGGUUAGGUCUACUUCAGUGGGAACAGUGCCAAAGCCUGUGCUCUUUCUACUCUUGAGAGUACAUUUAAAAUCAGUUACAUUUAUAGACCUGGCUUCUGUCAAAUAGGCUAAAAAUCCAGAUUGGUUUUUAUUACAACAUCCCAUAAUAAGCAAACAACCUAAGCUUUUCCCACAUGACUAAUGCCUCUAAGAUCAUCUGUAGAGAUAAACAAAAAUCUUUGUCCCAGAGAGUUAGAAAAGUUCAAAGACUAUUGGAGAAUGG
rnacentral:lncRNA from 1 species